CAAGCCUGGCGAGGAGGAGGAUGAGGAGGUGUGGGAGGAUGGAGACAGCGGCCACCAAAGGCUGGGGAAGGCCCAGCUCCAGCAGGGAAACAUUUAAACAAGAGGUGCCAAAAAGAAUUGAAGCUUCUGCACAAUGAAAUCUGCAAGAAUCCAACUUCAAAUCCUCCUGGAUUGUCACCGGUCCAACUUCCAUGGACUGGUCACCGUGGCCAGGAGUGUCCAGUCCUGCUGGGAAUGCACUGGACCAGGAUGUCAUUUUCACUUUAUACAGCACAGGAGCCGUUCCCUUGCCCAGAGGAGCAGCAAGUGCCUCAAAUCCCCAGGAUGGACCACAGAGAAAAUAGCAGGAAUAUGGAAAUCCCCCACACUGGGAGUUUGUGGUGCUCUGGAUUACAUUUUGGAUUUAUAAUGUUAAAGGGAGGCUCUGGAAUGGCUUAUCUCCUUUUUAUUUUUAUUGUUCUCACUGCUCUUGUUGCUGUUGCUGUCACUGUUAUUAUGUGUUGUCAUGAAUACUAAAUGANCCGUGGGUGGCUCCAGCCAGGUUCAUGGCCAGCAGGACACUGGGAUUCGCCGGCUCCUCAUAAUUUACAGAUUCCUCCAUGCGCUGGAGCAGCUGGGAGACCUUAUCCUGCGGGGCCACUGGAAAGAGGGGGAGGUCAGUGGGAUCCCAUGUCCCAUCC
rnacentral:lncRNA from 1 species